rnacentral:tRNA from 3 species
GGUAGGUCAAUCCAACGGCUGGCGCUGGACUCCGACUUGAAAUCGGUUGAUCGUAGUGAUACGGUGUAAGGGUUCGAUCCCCUUACCUACCUCCA